rnacentral:lncRNA from 1 species
UCGAAAAACAAAUCCGAUUUCCUAAAACAAGUUGGAUUCUGAGACAAAAUUCGUGGGCUGACUUUCAGGCCUGAUUCUGGACUGAUCCUUUUGUCUUUAGAUAGCUGGACCACUUUAAACUUGUAGACAAUUAAGAUAUCUUCGCGUGGGCUGUUGAAUCGUCUAAUUCUGACGUCCGGAACUCAAGUUAUGGCCCAAACAAGAUUUGCUGCGCAGGUAGCCCAUAAAGUCCGAAUUUCCAUCAAAUACAAGCCCAACUAAGCUAGUUUCAUCCAACUUAGGAAUAUUUAUUUUCCUGCCACUAAACACUUAAAAUCAAUUAGUAAUUACCCGAUUAUUUACAAAAUACCACAAUUAUGGGAAUAAAAUCAUAUAAAAGCAUAUAUAAAUAUAUGCUCUAUCAAAUAUCCCCACACUUAGUGUUUUGCACGUCCUCGGGCAAAUAAAAUAAAUUAAACUAACACCUAAUAGAUAUAUACCACUUCCGUAGGUGAUCACGAUUGCAUUUGGCAUAUGCAACAAGCCCUUUAAACCCCUAGGCAGCCCUAGUGGACGAGUAAGGUCUCGUGAGGGCCUAUAG